rnacentral:rRNA from 1 species
CACGAACCGUACGAACGUUAUUCGGAAUUACUGGGCUUAAAGGGUUUGUAGGCGGCCUUGUAAGUCAGGUGUGAAAGCCCUCGGCUCAACCGAGGAACAGCGCUUGAUACUGCAAGGCUUGAGGGAGACAGAGGUAAGCGGAACUGAUGGUGGAGCGGUGAAAUGCGUUGAUAUCAUCAGGAACACCGGUGGCGAAAGCGGCUUACUGGGUCUCUUCUGACGCUGAGGAACG